AGUCUGAGAUCAUCCAUGACUUGAUUAUGGAUGAAGGAGCUUAGCUGGUGUGCAUUACAGACACCUGGUCGGCAGAGGCAGCUUGGCCCCAGCUUCUCCCGAUGGGAUACUCCAUGGUGGAGCAGCAGUUGGAGCCAGGCAGGGGAAGCAACAGUUGGCUAGCCAAGCCAUGGCAGCAACCAAGAACUCUUCAGGGGCCUGAAGCAUCUACCAUGGUUUUGUUCUAGUUGCUGAUAAGCCAGGAACAAAUGGAUGAUGUUAUGGGAGACUCUGGUAAAUGAAAACGUAUCGGCAGUAAAUCUUUCCACUUUGAAAGAGAAUGAAUUAUGUUUAAAAUU